CCUACGGGCGGCAGCAGUGGGGAAUAUUGCACAAUGGGGGGAACCCUGAUGCAGCGACGCCGCGUGAGUGAAGAAGUAUUUCGGUAUGUAAAGCUCUGUCAGCAGGGAAGAAGAAAGACGGUACCGGACCAAGAAGCCCCGGCUAACUACGUGCCAGCAGCCGCGGUAAUACGGAGGGGGCAAGCGUUAUCCGGAUUUACUGGGUGGACAGGGAGCGGAGACGGCAGGGCAAGUCUGGAGUGAAAGGCAGGGGCCCCACCCCUGGACUGCUCUGGAAACUGUCCGGCUGGAGUGCAGGAGAGGUAAGUGGACUUCCUAGUGUAGCGGUUAAAUGCGUAGAUAUUAGGAGGAACCCCAGUGGCGAAGGCGGCUUACUGGACUGUAACUGCCGUUGAGGCUCGAACGCGUGUGGAGCACACAGGCUUAGAUACCCCUGUAGUC
rnacentral:rRNA from 1 species